CGCCCCGGGGAGGGAUGCUGCAGCCAGGCACCAGCUAAGCAGCGCCCGCCCCGGCUGGGAGGAGGAAGGAGGCUACGGGCGGCGCUUUCCCGCCCCGGCGUGCGCCAGCCCCGCAGGCAGGGGCCGAUGACCCGGCAGGCAGAGCCCGCAGGGCAGGAGCAGGGGCGGGCUCGGGCUCCCCCAGGUGAGUGGCAUCUCGGGAGGGGUCCAGAGAGCCUGGUCUCCGCCCGGGCGGGGGCAGACCCCAGCGGCCCCGUCUCGGGAGGGCUGGGGGCAACCGAGGGCGUGAUGUGAAAGGCAGGAGAUUCCCUGCUGGCGAGAAACCUGCAGGCACCGGGUCCUGCUGCCUGGCAGCCGCCGCUUCGCAGGUAGGUAAUCCUCUAAUGGAUCAAUGAAAGCAAAACGAUGACAAGUUGUGGUCACCAGUCCUUGAAUGCGCUGAUGGUUGUGUUCUCAUUACUUUUAUCAGCAGCAUUGUCUGCUCACUUUCGGGUCUGUGAGCCAUAUACAGACUACAAAGGUCGCUACCACUUUGGUUUUCACUGCCCACGUCUUUCUGACAAUAAAUCUUACAUCUUUUGCUGUCACCAUAACAACACAGUAUUUAAAUACUGCUGCAAUGAGACGGAAUUUCAGACUGUUAUGCAGAUGAACCUAACAGGGAAUGCAGAUGGAUAUAUGCAUAACAACUACAGUGCACUAUUAGGAGUGUGGAUCUAUGGCUUUUUUGUGUUGGUCCUGCUGGUACUGGACCUUUUAUAUUACUCUUCGAUGAACUAUGAUAUUUGCAAAUUUUACCUGGCAAGGUGGGGAAUCCAGGGAAAGUGGAUGACGCAGGGACAGAGCCGAUGGAUUAACCCUGCUCAAGAUACAAGCCAAGUACAGACACAGACACAGCCUCAGCCUCCACUUCAGCCACAGCCUCAGACGUCACAGGCAGUACGUACUGUAAAAGGAGAUGCUUUAAACCCACCACUGAUGUCUUUUCAGAGUACAUCUGCCUGUAGUGCUCCAUCCUUCUAUUAAGAACCCUGCUUUCUGCAAGCCCACUCAUAACAUCUGUUGAAGUAGACUGUCACCUAUGAAAGCUUCUGACUCUCUGAACCAGUUAGUUUCUAAGGUGCUACACUAUCCUGCCUCCUGCCUAAGGUUAGAAAAUAUAUAUAUAUAUUGAUGUGCCUCAAGAUGGGAGAGGUAAGAUUAGAAUCCAGGGAGGAGCUUCCAACAGAACCGUCCAGCUGAAUGACAGAAAAAGAAAGACACUCUUGAGAUGGAUGUUGGCCAACUCACCUGAAGAGAAUCACCAUCCUGCCAACUUAAAAAAAAAAAAAAAGCAAACAACAUAGAAAGUUUUUGAUCAGGAAGCAGUCUGCAAGCAAUAUUUUCAUUCUAGACCAAGAUUAUUAUUAUUGAAUGGAGAAACUGUAUUGAGAAGAUGCUCAGACAAAUGAAACACAUGUUGCUCUGGCAAGAUCCAUGUCAAGGUGGACACGGACUACAAGAUGAACAUUUGGUAGAUAACCUUUCUUUGCCUCCCCAUCCAUCUAUUGCCAUUUGAGCCUAAUCUAAGUGUCACAAUAUUGAAUGUGAGUUUUUUUCCAAAGUUCUCUGGUGAACAUUAUGUCACAAUAGUCUAGAUGUCAACAAGCCAAGUUACUGUCCCUCCCCUGCCCCUUAUUGCACAUUAUAAUGCAAGGGAACCUCUGUCAUCUAAUUGGAAUGCAAGAUAAUAGUCAUUCCAACACCUAAAUUCUUCUUUCACCCACAGCUGUGUCAGCUGCAGGACAUCAGACUCCUGAGCACACCAAGUGGUUUCAGCUGCACACACCCUCCUUCAGGGUGAAGAGUGGUUGUAAAGAAAUAAGAUAGAUACCACCCCACCAUCACCUCUCCCCUUCCUGAAACUAAUAGAAAGUGGAAGAAAAAAAAAAGAAAUGUUUAUAUUACAAAUAGCAAUAAUGCCAUUGCCCCUCUUGUUUUACAAGGCAAUAAUCCAGUUCCCUCAGCCAUUGAUUGGCUUCAUAAUUUAUCUGAGGAUUCCUGAGCAGGCCAAAGUGCCAAUGAUAGAAUCACAGAAGCAUAUUGAAUGCUCACUGUAUGUUGCAAUAGCUAAAUGUUAUUUUUUAUGUUACAGGUUUAAUUUGAAAUCCUGUGGUAUGUUUUAUACAAAUCAUUCCUGUGAACUUCAGUCAUGCAUGGAGACUUUAUAUAGAAACAAAGCACCUGGUGGUGACAAUGAAAAGGAGUAAUUCCUCUGGAAUUCCAGCAGUCUAUACAGCACAUUUAUUCCAAAUGAAUAAAUCAUAGCUAAUAUUUUUUCAAACACAAAACAAUAUGAUAAUGACUAGGCAUAUAUUUUAUUGCAUUGGCCACACCAAGAACAACUCCAUAUUGAAUAUCAUUUAGAGACUACUUUGACUUGAGUACAUUUUACUAUUUUACUGAACACCUAAUGGAUAGAUUAUUACUUGAUGACUUGGAACAAGUUAUGUUUGCCAUGCUUACAUACAGUCAACAGAAAAAAGGAACUGGGAGCAAUUUAUGUAGGAGGGCACAAGUAAGGGAGGCCAGUCAGAUUUGCUUGAAGCAGCCAAGUCCUCACCAGAGGACUGAGUUAGAUAGGAAUGUGUCCAUGUACCAUCUUCUUGCACAUCAGCCAGCAAAUAGAAAGCAUUCCUAAGUAAGGUGAGAGCAUGCAACAUCUAGGUUAGGGACACACAUUCAAAAGCUUGAGCCUUAAUUGAUUCAAUCUUUCUAGGUUAGUCUAACCUGGAUAGGCUAAACCAGUUUGUAACUGUUAAGACAUCCCCUCUGGACUGAGGAAAUUCAGGCACAUGCCUGCAGUGGCUCAGACUAGAAGGGGGCACUACAGCAGCCCCCUCCCCCCCCUUCCCUUAAACAGGGCUGAGCUGAGGGAGUGACGUGGCCAGGCCCCAGCAGAUGCUCUGAUUAGGAAGGGGUUCCCUCCCCUCUCCCCCCCACCCUUGAUAACAAAGCAUUUAUCAGCUCUGUUAUCAGCAUUUAACACCCCAUCAGAAAACAAAGCCUCUCUCAUUAGUUCAAGCUCUUCUUAAACAACUUUUUGCAAGGAAAGAAGGGAGGGACAUUACCAGCUGUCCUGUUGAUUAGCUCCAAAAACCCCUAAAGACACUGUCCGGUCUGCCUUACACAGACACCUCUCAGUAUUAGCUAGCAUACCACAUGUUAGCUACCAUCCGUCCUCUGGGAGCAGGCAGGGAGGGAUCCCUGCUUGAGCUGCAAGCAGUUGCGGUGGGGGGGAGCAGGAGGAAGCCAGGCAGAUGCUCCAUGCCUGCAAGUCUCUGCUGGAGCUCCAGCCAGGGAGCAGAUGGGUAGGGCCAGCCCUGCUCUGGAGCAGAAAGCCCUGUCCAGCCCAGAGAGCAUGCCCGGAUGCUGUGGGAGUCUGGUUUAAUUUAAACCAGGAAGGGAUCUGAGACAGACAUUGCAUUAAACCAGCUUGACUCAAAUCAGUUAAGUCUAAUACUAUAUGCAACCAGGUUUGUUUCAGCCAUUUUUUAACUGGUUUAUGUGUACUGAAUGUCUGUUCUGUUACAGGUUUAACCUAGUUUAUGAUCACUUAAACCAGUUUAUGUGUAAUGUCUUUCCCUAGCCCUAAUGAACAUCUAAAACAGCAGGUGUCACAGACAAGCAAGCAUGCUCCCCAUCAGCAUCACUGGAGGCUCUGAAUCCUUCCUCCUCUCUAGGGGCAUACGUGCAGCAUCCCCACUGUGCACGGUGCUCCAGUGCUUCCUCCUGCUCCACAUGCAAGUCAUCUUGAAGAGCCAUGCUAGGAUCUUUGAAAUAUUUCUAAGGUAUUUUACAGUGGAAAAUGUAGCACUCCAAGCAAAAAAGGGGAAUCAAUAUUCUUUAAAUUCUUAGUUAACAUUAGAACCUCAAAAGCUUUUAGUUUUCUAAAAACAGCAUAUUAAAAGAGAUUAAUUCAAAGCACUUUAGUUGAAGCACGGAAAAACAGCAGAGUUCCAGCAAAGGACACUAUGGGUAGGUCUCAAACACUGUAUGGAUGUAUGUAAUGUGCACACAGCAUUGGUUUCUCCUGAAGAAUUAAAUUUUCCCUCACAAGAGCAAAGUAACACAGCCCCUGUGAUCAUGCUUUCCACACAAGUAAAGGCUGCAAAAUGGAGCCAUUAGAUAGAAUCAUCAGCCCCAAUGUGUUAGUUAGGUCAGAAAACCCAUGUACCUGGACACAAUAUUUUUUCUGUCCUUGACCCACUGGGUAAAAUAGUUCCUUCCCCACAACCUACCUUCCCUUGCAAACUAUCUCUGAGGUUUUACCUAUAAUAAUCACCUUCCUUUCACAGGUCCUUUGCUGAUUUACACCCUCUCCAAAGCAGUAACACUGCAUUUCCAUCAGUUACAAUAGAUCCGCACAGGAUCAGGCCUACAGAAAUUUAGCAAGUAUCUGGGUGCAUCUAUACCUUCAUUAAAGUGCUGUAAUUACAGCUCAUUAUGUUUAGUACUUGAAAUGACAGGUACUAACUGUGCUGUAAUGGGCACCACAGCGCAUUAGUGCAGUUGAACAUUUUUGGUGAUGCUACUGUGCAUUAGACUAACUCUACUGUGCAUUACUGCAGGGGUUUUCAACCUUUCUUGAUUAGUGUACCCUGGUGGCCAGACACAGAGCAGUGUAUCCCCAGUGGCUGGACACGGAGGGGAGGGUGGGCACAGCCAGAUGCAGAGCAGCAGCAGCACUGCACAUGAGCUUACCUCACCCCCCACAUCUGGCCAGGUGGGCAGCGGCAGCGCGAAAUGGUGUGUGGUGGUAUUCCAUCCCCGCCCACCCACACGUACCCCCUAGGGUCUUCUCAAGUACCCCUGGGGGGCACACAUACCCCCAGUUGACAACCCCUGCAUUUGUGUAUUAGCAUGAGCUUUGCCCACCAUGCUAAUGCACAGUAGAAUUAGUCUUCUGUGCAUUAAACAUCUUGUGUAGAUGUGCCCUCUGUUACCAAACAGAAAUCAAAUGGGAGACAGCUCAGCAGCACCUCUAAGGACCAAACCUACUGCUCCUUUGAGCUUAUGGGGUACAUUGUUCUUAAAGGACUACAAACAACACUUUGUUAUGUGACACUAUGCCACAGUACAGAAGGAUGAGAAUGGAACAUCCAACUUAAGGAAACACAAUCAAUUUAGAAAUCAAACCCCUCUGAUAUUUUCUUACCAUAUUGUAGCACUCACAGUUACCAUGGAGACUGAAGAAAAAUUAUUUCACUAUUUUUUCUACUUUGUUUAAGAAUUUUACUGUAUUUUGUAUAUAACCAGUUUCUCCAUUCCCCCUCUGUAAGAUCAAUUUCCCCUUGUACUUGUGAGGAUGUUUCCUGAAACAAAGAAAUGACAGGAGGAAAAUAUUUAAAAACAGAAAGAAGUGAACAAUUGUAAACAUCAAAAAUUGUCAGGGGGGCAAGUUAGAUUCUGAACACAUUUUUUUCAGUUAGCUUUUGGGCCAAUGGUCCCUGAAUUUUAGCCCGGAGUUUGUUAAUUUGUGUGUCAAAUUUCAUAGUACUAAAACAAUAAAAAACAGAGGGCCAGCUUUUGACCAAGUUUUUUUUAUACCACUGGAACUCUACUAAAGUAACUUCCAGAUUCCACCAGUGUAAGGGGAAAAAAAAUCAGACCCAAAGUAACAAAGGCACAAAAAGCUCAUCCUCCAUAGGGCAAUAUUACAACAAAUAUUUUCCCAUGAAGUACAAACUCAGCAACUUUACAAUCAGCAGUGUCCUUUCCUGUACAUAGUCAUUCUAAUUGAUCUCCUAAUCAAGAAAUCAGAAAUCUUCCUGAGUGUUUUUUAAAUGACCUACUUUUAUUGUGAGGUUACAACCACCACAGAGAUCUUUGUAAAAAAGCUUAUGUUCAUGAAGGAAUUUGUAUUAGAUACUGGUUUGUGUGACUUACUGUAUUUUGUAAGGGUUUUUCCCUUUGGGAAUUGUGCGUUAUUAAUGAGCAGUUUUAUGCUUUAUUUCUAGUCUGUGUAUACAUUGUAAUAGAUGUGUGUUUUUGAAUCUCUAUACAGAACCAAUUAAUCUUAGGUAGAUACUCACUGGUUGAAAUUUCCAUACUGCCUACAAAUUAACAUAUAUAGAUAAAUCCAUGUCAUAACAGAGGAACAAACCAUUCCAUAAACAUCAUGAUAGCCUAUAUCUUGUAGCUAAAUACUGGAUCUUAAAUAAGACUAAUAUUAGUUGAGCCUUAAACUAAAAAUAUGCAUAAAAAAUCACUGGAUUUUUUUCUCCUCUAUGUGACAUAUAGCUUGUGAAGUUUUUAAAAAAGCAAUGACUAGGCAAACAGUAGCUUCAGCAUCUCAGCUAUAAGCUAAAUGUAGAGAACUAUCAGAUCACAGCCUUCUGCUAACUGAUUAUGACAAACCAAAAACACACCAUCACCAAAUUCAGCAUUUGCUUUUACAUUAAGAUCCUGAUUUAUUCACAGCUUCAAAUAAUCAUGUCUGCAAUAUGUAAAAGAAAAUGGGUGAUGGAAUGAAACUCACCUACUAAUGCCCUUUCCUAUUUAACUGGAACAAUAGGAGACAUGAAAUCACUCCAUUAUGGAAAGUUUAUAAUCCCAUCCUAUCCCUCAUGAAGGACUCCCUUUUCAACAGCUAUUAUGUUGCUCAUAGUUUACAGGCAUUUUUCCCUGUCUAAAUUUAUUAUAUACAUACCCUCAUAUAUUAUAUUUUAUUAAGAAUAAUUUGUGUGUCCAGCUUACAAAUAUUCUAGUGUUGUACAAAAUAGGACAAAAAGAAAUUAGUAAAAAGAGUAUGUAGGUGUUAGCAUUGCAUUUAGCCAUCUUUCAUGUCUGGUUUUGAUUUCAGUACAGAUACACAAGUGCAGCAAUUUGGCCUGUCAAUUUUACUGUAUCCUUCAGCAUACUGUAGCAGCAAUUUUAAAUAACUGAGGUUUUAUUAUGGCUAGAGUUUUUAUAUGAAAGCUGUCCAUAUAAAGAAAAAGUAUGAUGUAGCAUAAAUAAAAUACAUUUCAAACAUAUUUUUAAAGCCAAUUAUUCAAUUAUGUUUAACAAUCUACCCAGUGUGGGCAAAUUAAGGUAACAUAAAAAACCCAACCACCUGGAGUAACUUUUUAAUAAGCAUUGCAAAGCCUGUUAUGCAAGGCAGGCAUUCGUUCAGUCCCUCUCUUUCAUAAAUAUUAAAAUAUUAACAAUAGUAUAUUUUAAUAGUUUACAGUCAAAAUUUAGGUUCCCUUCUAACCUAAUUAGAAAUUCUAGGAUUAUAGUGGUUUUCUUAUUUUUACUAAUACCUUAAAAACAAUAUCAUUUAUUUAAACACUUGAUGUUUAAAUUCAAUACAUGCAGGUGUCCGGUGAUCUGCUAUUCUAGUUUUGGAUCUAAACUUGUCCUAUUUUUUUUUUAUUUUUUUUUUUGCUGUAUACUCUGACUUCAUAUUAUGAAUCAUUUCCUUCUAAAGUGAUUGCCAGGUAAACCAAAAAUGUGUUUUACACUGCUAUUGCACUGCUUUUGUCUUUCUAUACAGUAGUUUUUAUAAAGAUGUCUUUCUGUUUUAAUAAAUAAGUGUAUUGUAAACUAAUCCCUGUAAUAAAAUUUGCUUUAAUGUUUCAAAAGCCA